UGGGGAAUAUUGCACAAUGGGCGCAAGCCUGAUGCAGCCAUGCCGCGUGUGUGAAGAAGGCCUUCGGGUUGUAAAGCACUUUCAGCGAGGAGGAAGGUGGUGAGCUUAAUACGCUCAUCAAUUGACGUUACUCGCAGAAGAAGCACCGGCUAACUCCGUGCCAGCAGCCGCGGUAAUACGGAGGGUGCAAGCGUUAAUCGGAAUUACUGGGCGUAAAGCGCACGCAGGCGGUUUGUUAAGUCAGAUGUGAAAUCCCCGGGCUCAACCUGGGAACUGCAUUUGAAACUGGCAAGCUAGAGUCUCGUAGAGGGGGGUAGAAUUCCAGGUGUAGCGGUGAAAUGCGUAGAGAUCUGGAGGAAUACCGGUGGCGAAGGCGGCCCCCCUGGACGAAGACUGACGCUCAGGUGCGAAAGCGUGGGGAGCAAACGGGAUUAGAUACCCUGGUAGUCCAGCGCUGUAAAACGAUGUCGAUUUUGGAGGUUGUGCCCUUGAGGCGUGGCUUCCGGAGCUAACGCGUUAAAUCGACCGCCUGGGGAGUACGGCCGCAAGGUU
rnacentral:rRNA from 1 species